GUAAACGAUGAAUACUCGCUGUUUGCGAUAUGCAGUAAGCGGCCAAGCGAAAGCAUUAAGUAUUCCACCUGGGGAGUACGCCGGCAACGGUGAAACUCAAAGGAAUUGACGGGGGCCCGCACAAGCGGAGGAACAUGUGGUUUAAUUCGAUGAUACGCGAGGAACCUUACCCGGGCUUGAAUUGCAGAGGAAUAUAGUUGAAAGAUUAUCGCCGCAAGGUCUCUGUGAAGGUGCUGCAUGGUUGUCGUCAGCUCGUGCCGUGAGGUGUCGGCUUAAGUGCCAUAACGAGCGCAACCCUUAUCAUUAGUUACUAACAGGUCAUGCUGAGGACUCUAGUGAGACUGCCGUCGUAAGAUGUGAGGAAGGUGGGGAUGACGUCAAAUCAGCACGGCCCUUACGUCCGGGGCUACACACGUGUUACAAUGGGGGGUACAGAGGGCAGCUACCGGGCGACCGGAUGCCAAUCCCAAAAACCUCUCUCAGUUCGGAU
rnacentral:rRNA from 1 species